GUUCUUGUAGUUGAACAACAACGAUGGUUUUUCAUAUCAUUGGUCAUGGUGUAAUUCCAUGUAAGAAUG
rnacentral:tRNA from 1 species